CGCUUGCGAUAUAACAGCAUCGCGUUGGCAAGCAAAUGAAGAAACAUGAUUUAAGUUUAAGAAUUUACUGAAUUACCUCAUUUCUACCUCAAAAGGAAGGGUCAGCCAGCGAGUUCGACGGUGGUGUUGGUGUCAGGGAAGCUGAAGCUGUAAUAAGAACAACUUUAAAGAGUUUCAUUAAAGCUGACUUCACACCAGCAGUGCGACGAACUCUUAAUUGCCAUAAAAGAAGAAGAGGUGGAAGUGAUAGUCGAACUCGAAGCUGCAUGAUUUUCCCAUCGUCGCACCGAUGACCGGUCAGUUAAAUAUUAACGGGCAUCAAGAUCGGUCAGUUGCAAAUGUUAACGGACACACGUUCAACGGUUGCUUCGUCAUAAAGACGUCCAGAAGCCAGACAUUAAGUUCAUGUUUGGAAAGUGACACAAGGAAGGAGUAACAACAAGGAACCGUGUGAAGCCUGACAACAAGAGCGCAACAAACUAACGAGAAGGGAAGUAAUGCAACAAGCUCAGAGCAGUGGCGGAGCCAGAGGGGUGGCCGGGGUGGCACUUGCCACCCCCAACGGACCCCUGGCCACCCCUAGUGCCACCCCACUGGAAAUGGUCAUUUUAAAAUAUAAUACUUAUGAGAUCGGCAAAGAUUUGCCUGGAAAACUGUAAUUUCCGACUGUCCCUGAAGGCAGCUCGAUGCCCGACGCUGUUCUUUGGUUAAACUGACAUGUGGGUCCUGCUUGAUCCAAAACACAUCAAAGGCUUUAGAGUUACACCGUCCAGGAGUUUUGCAGAGCCCAAAUGAAGAGAAAAGGGAAGAUGUCCCAGUUCUUCUUAAAGAGGCAAAAACCUGCAGCAGUGACCAGGACCAGACAGAACCCUGCAGCAGUGACCAGGACCAGACAGAACCCUGCAGCAGUGACCAACCUGGAGAAUCCAGCCAGGAGACUCCAGGCCCAAGUGGAUCACCAGCGGGCAAACAUUCGUCGAGUGACCUGGAUGUUUGUCUUGAGAAGCAGCUGGAGCAUUUCGAGUGGCGGGUGAAGAUUUUAAAGAAAGAGAUGUAACAAGAAACAAACUGGAUGAAAAUGGUUCCUGUGGGAAAGUUCCAGGGCCAAAACCAUGACUGAGCCCCUCUCCACACACCCCUUCCCACAAAACACAAGACCCUGUCUCAGGCUUCUAAAAGUGACAGGAGUUCAGUCCUCCAAGGAUUUUGUCAAAGAUUACUGAGAGCUGAUAAUCAACAAAGCUGAAUAAUAAAGACAGAUGGCAGCAGCUGUUGGACUUUUGCUGAUGUUACUGGGAGUUUCUCAAGGUUUGUCAGCUCACUGCGAUGCCAGAAAAGAUGGCGCUCAAUGCAGUGCGACUUUGGGAGAAACUGUGUUUGUACGGCUGAUUGACGACGCUUCAGGAAUUAGAUUUGAGUUGAGAAAGGAACAUGUAAC